GGUUAAGCGACUAAGCGUACACGGUGGAUGCCCUGGCAGUCAGAGGCGAUGAAGGACGUGCUAAUCUGCGAUAAGCGUCGGUGAGGUGAUAUGAACCGUUAUAACCGGCGAUUUCCGAAUGGGGAAACCCAGUGUGUUUCGACACACUAUCAUUAACUGAAUCCAUAGGUUAAUGAGGCGAACCGGGGGAACUGAAACAUCUAAGUACCCCGAGGAAAAGAAAUCAACCGAGAUUCCCCCAGUAGCGGCGAGCGAACGGGGAGGAGCCCAGAGCCUGAAUCAGUGUGUGUGUUAGUGGAAGCGUCUGGAAAGGCGCGCGAUACAGGGUGACAGCCCCGUACACAAAAAUGCACAUAUUGUGAGCUCGAUGAGUAGGGCGGGACACGUGGUAUCCUGUCUGAAUAUGGGGGGACCAUCCUCCAAGGCUAAAUACUCCUGACUGACCGAUAGUGAACCAGUACCGUGAGGGAAAGGCGAAAAGAACCCCGGCGAGGGGAGUGAAAAAGAACCUGAAACCGUGUACGUACAAGCAGUGGGAGCCUCUUUAUGGGGUGACUGCGUACCUUUUGUAUAAUGGGUCAGCGACUUAUAUUCUGUAGCAAGGUUAACCGAAUAGGGGAGCCGAAGGGAAACCGAGUCUUAACUGGGCGUUAAGUUGCAGGGUAUAGACCCGAAACCCGGUGAUCUAGCCAUGGGCAGGUUGAAGGUUGGGUAACACUAACUGGAGGACCGAACCGACUAAUGUUGAAAAAUUAGCGGAUGACUUGUGGCUGGGGGUGAAAGGCCAAUCAAACCGGGAGAUAGCUGGUUCUCCCCGAAAGCUAUUUAGGUAGCGCCUCGUGAAUUCAUCUCCGGGGGUAGAGCACUGUUUCGGCAAGGGGGUCAUCCCGACUUACCAACCCGAUGCAAACUGCGAAUACCGGAGAAUGUUAUCACGGGAGACACACGGCGGGUGCUAACGUCCGUCGUGAAGAGGGAAACAACCCAGACCGCCAGCUAAGGUCCCAAAGUCAUGGUUAAGUGGGAAACGAUGUGGGAAGGCCCAGACAGCCAGGAUGUUGGCUUAGAAGCAGCCAUCAUUUAAAGAAAGCGUAAUAGCUCACUGGUCGAGUCGGCCUGCGCGGAAGAUGUAACGGGGCUAAACCAUGCACCGAAGCUGCGGCAGCGACACUAUGUGUUGUUGGGUAGGGGAGCGUUCUGUAAGCCUGUGAAGGUGGCCUGUGAGGGUUGCUGGAGGUAUCAGAAGUGCGAAUGCUGACAUAAGUAACGAUAAAGCGGGUGAAAAGCCCGCUCGCCGGAAGACCAAGGGUUCCUGUCCAACGUUAAUCGGGGCAGGGUGAGUCGACCCCUAAGGCGAGGCCGAAAGGCGUAGUCGAUGGGAAACAGGUUAAUAUUCCUGUACUUGGUGUUACUGCGAAGGGGGGACGGAGAAGGCUAUGUUGGCCGGGCGACGGUUGUCCCGGUUUAAGCGUGUAGGCUGGUUUUCCAGGCAAAUCCGGAAAACCAAGGCUGAGGCGUGAUGACGAGGCACUACGGUGCUGAAGCGACAAAUGCCCUGCUUCCAGGAAAAGCCUCUAAGCAUCAGGUAACAUCAAAUCGUACCCCAAACCGACACAGGUGGUCAGGUAGAGAAUACCAAGGCGCUUGAGAGAACUCGGGUGAAGGAACUAGGCAAAAUGGUGCCGUAACUUCGGGAGAAGGCACGCUGAUAUGUAGGUGAAGCGACUUGCUCGUGGAGCUGAAAUCAGUCGAAGAUACCAGCUGGCUGCAACUGUUUAUUAAAAACACAGCACUGUGCAAACACGAAAGUGGACGUAUACGGUGUGACGCCUGCCCGGUGCCGGAAGGUUAAUUGAUGGGGUUAGCGGUAACGCGAAGCUCUUGAUCGAAGCCCCGGUAAACGGCGGCCGUAACUAUAACGGUCCUAAGGUAGCGAAAUUCCUUGUCGGGUAAGUUCCGACCUGCACGAAUGGCGUAAUGAUGGCCAGGCUGUCUCCACCCGAGACUCAGUGAAAUUGAACUCGCUGUGAAGAUGCAGUGUACCCGCGGCAAGACGGAAAGACCCCGUGAACCUUUACUAUAGCUUGACACUGAACAUUGAGCCUUGAUGUGUAGGAUAGGUGGGAGGCUUUGAAGUGUGGACGCCAGUCUGCAUGGAGCCGACCUUGAAAUACCACCCUUUAAUGUUUGAUGUUCUAACGUUGGCCCGUAAUCCGGGUUGCGGACAGUGUCUGGUGGGUAGUUUGACUGGGGCGGUCUCCUCCUAAAGAGUAACGGAGGAGCACGAAGGUUGGCUAAUCCUGGUCGGACAUCAGGAGGUUAGUGCAAUGGCAUAAGCCAGCUUGACUGCGAGCGUGACGGCGCGAGCAGGUGCGAAAGCAGGUCAUAGUGAUCCGGUGGUUCUGAAUGGAAGGGCCAUCGCUCAACGGAUAAAAGGUACUCCGGGGAUAACAGGCUGAUACCGCCCAAGAGUUCAUAUCGACGGCGGUGUUUGGCACCUCGAUGUCGGCUCAUCACAUCCUGGGGCUGAAGUAGGUCCCAAGGGUAUGGCUGUUCGCCAUUUAAAGUGGUACGCGAGCUGGGUUUAGAACGUCGUGAGACAGUUCGGUCCCUAUCUGCCGUGGGCGCUGGAGAACUGAGGGGGGCUGCUCCUAGUACGAGAGGACCGGAGUGGACGCAUCACUGGUGUUCGGGUUGUCAUGCCAAUGGCACUGCCCGGUAGCUAAAUGCGGAAGAGAUAAGUG
rnacentral:rRNA from 1 species